GUAUUCGCAUGUAUCAAAAAUAGACCUACAGCUGUUUGGGGGCUUUUUCAAGACACAGUGGGCAUGCAACUUGGAUUAUGAACUGUAUUUCUGCCAUUAGCCCCUGUUUUUAUUUUAUUUUAUUUUUUUAUUACCGGUUUGACUGACUCGUACAUUUAGUGGGCUACUUCGUCGAAUAGAUAAAAAGCAAAGGAAUGCGCUGGUUUCUUUGCUUCACAUGCUCAGCAAACUGGCUAUAUCUUCCGUAAUUGCGUUCAUGAUCAUUGACAAUGUAUAAAAUCUGACAUGCAUCAUACUUCUAAUAAACAAAACAGUACAAGGAAAUGAGGAGGUGGAGGAUGAGCAGCAGCAGGAGGAGGAGGAUUGCUAACAUGCCCUCACACUCACCUUCAACAAGCAGAAUAAACUGUAGACUCUCUUCCUAGGCAAACGUGAAGUUAGCAUGCCUCUGGCAUAUCAUUUUCUGUCUGGGGUGUGAAUGAGUGCUGUCACUUCAAUCCACUGGACUUAGGUAUUCCUUAUAGUCAGCAGAACUGGUGUAGUGUCUCGAUGGACUACUGCCAUCACAAUGCAAUGCACUAUAUGUUCAGCAGAGGGAGAUGUAGUACAAUUAUGUGUCCAUUAUUACAGUGCAAGUAUAUUUAAAUUGGAAGUUCCAAAUGUAGCUGUAUGAAAAAGCAGGAUUCUCCCUUAUACUUCUAUAGCUAAAAAUGUACAGAAUUAGAGUCACGUCCAGCCUCUUAGUUGUCAUUUGCAUUAUGUUUCAUGCAUCCAACACUAUGUUUUCCAAAUUAAAAUUAUGUUGCUUGCAAAAAAUGUAAGUGUAGUAGUUUGAUCUGGGUCAAUUACAUGUGUAUUUAAACAUUUUUACUUGAAAUUGCUACUCACUGUGUAUUUGAAAAAUUUAAAAUAAAAUAAAUACUUCUGUUUGUAAAACUUAAAAUAUUAUUUGGAAAAGAUAAAUUACAUUGUAUUUGAGUAUUUGCAACACAUUCCAAUACUUUUUCAAAUAAAAUUCAUUUAAAAUUUCCAAAACUA